AUCUUGGUGAGUUCAGAGUUUUCCAGCUGCUGUUGGCUUUAAACUUAAUUCUAUUAGAUCAUGCAACUGAGCAGCCACGCUCCCCACUGUUAUGUCCUUUAUACAGAGGAGGCUAAAUACAAAGCUCUUCCAAGUCUCUCUAGUUUCCCGGACAAAAGUUAUCCUCAUAGCUCUCGUGAUGGGUACAUCUUCCGGGCCCCUCCACUGUGGACAAGUAGCUUUUACACAAAGCCACUCUAUCAUUCCAAGUUCCCUAAGCCUUUCAAUCCCAUCCUCAAUAGAAUACCACUCCAGGGUGUCAGGCGACUGCAGCUCUCUUGUAGUAGGCCAUCUCUGGACCCAUGCUUCAGCCAACCAAUCAAACAAACUCUUCACACCAUUAUCUUCAACAGUGCGGGCUAUGACAUUAAACUCACUAUCAAGGCUCAAAGGACCUAAACUGAGAAAUUCAAUCUGAUCCAGUAUUGUGAGCCUCCCACCAUUAUCCCACACCCUUAAAAUCCAUUUCCUAGCAUGUUCCUUUGCCUUUUGGCGAUUUGAGUGAGCAAGUGAAUUGAGUUCAUGAUUAGUAUGGCGGUGUUUCUGACUUGUAAGGUCAGACAGAGACUUGGGUCUGGUGACAGGUUCAGAAGUAACUAAGGAUGUUGAAGACUGGAUCUGAGGGGCAUCUGCUUUGUCCUGCUGGGUGCGUUCUUUAGACAAGGCAUAACCACUUUCCUCAGACAAGGAUGGAGAGGCCAAGACAGUGGGCAACUCAGCUUCCUCAGACCCUUCAGAAUCUAUGUCCUCCCACACAUCUCCAUCCCAGGUUACCGGAUCCCAUUCUUUACCAAUCAGUGCCCUCACCUUAUCUGCAGACACUUUCCGGGCAGGCUGACACAUGACCUGGGAUUGCACAUCAGCUAACCUCACAAUGAGGGCUUCAGUCUGUUUUUCCCCAACUUCAAUCCUGUGGCGGUAGGAAAGAAGAGUCUCCCCCAGGACACACUUAGAAGCCUUUAGAUCAUUUAUGUGCAUUCGGAGCUGGGAAAUUUCAUCUCUGAAUUGGUCCCUUUCCUUUGUUACUUUAUCCAGAAAUGCCAGAAGCAGCUCGCCAACUGCGUCAUAGUCCCUAAUCUUGCAGAAAUGUUCAAAAGUAUGGUACACAGAGUCAUUAAGUUCCUUACCGCUCGAAAAGGAUGAAUCGGGGAGAUCGGCCACAUUUAUCUUCUGCAGCAGCUCACGCCAUGGGUUAACAGUGUCAUUAUCCGGAGAGUCAUUAUCCGGAGAGUCCUCGGCAAGUUCAGGUUUGAAGAGCCAGCUCGAGAAACCAGCAAGCGCACGUGGGAAAUUCAUCUUCAGACUUUUGUUUCCCUAGAACUCGGCUACUGCGUCCUACAAGCCUCGGAUCCAAAUUCCAGUUCGUCCCUGGCAAAAGCACUCUGGGGAGUUGCUAGUGUGGGGUCCGCGUGAAAAGGUCAAAGUUGCCGGAGUCUCUAGCCCC
rnacentral:lncRNA from 1 species